rnacentral:lncRNA from 1 species
GGGCAAUGAUGCAAAAGCAGCCUGGGAGGAGGUAAGUACUGCUGUCAACCAAGUUUGCCCGGAGGUGCUGAGCAAUGCAAAAAGUGGUUCAAUGAUGUUAGACGACGGGCUAAACUAAAAUUAUCUCAACACCGUCGCCAGACAGCAACGACCGGAGGCGGCCCCUCAUCGAUGGUGUCUCUGAGCCCUGCCGAGGACAUGGCAUCCUCCACACUCCCCUAAAUCAGUAUUGAGGGGUUUGGUGUCUCUGAGGUUGGACUCACGAGUAAGACAAACAUUCUUUUCCGCAAAUAAAGACAGUAACAUCAUGUAUAUUUAACCACGUGUUACAAAGGUGUGUUGUGUGCACAGGUGAUCUAAAAAAAAAAAGGGCCUUGGGUAAUGAGAUUGAAAUCGGAAUGACCUGUGCGUAAAGGACGGAUCAAACAAAGCCUGAUUGUAUUUUCUCCCUUUCCGCUAAUGUUUGCAUGUGAAAUGAACUUGGCUCACACAAUUUAUAACUUCUUUAUUAUGAAUGAAAGUAUUGUGUUACAUUUAAAAAAAUGAAUUACUAUCAUUAACGAAAAUAAAAUUUCUGGUCAGCCUCAGCAGAAUUGCCACUGUUGCGGCAGCAGCACCACACCUGAGAGGAGGAGCAGCAGCAGGAGCAGGAGGUCAGGGAGGAGGAGGAGGAGGAGGAUGACGACGAUGACAACGAUGACGAGGGCGAGGAGGACCAGGGGGAGCCGGUGCCGGAGACGCAGGAGGGGGAAGAACACAGACCCAAGCCAGCAACACGGGGUCGGAGACGCAUCCAGGUCCAGGAGGAGGACCUUCCCUUCCUGUAGAUCCAGCGGGCUGGGUUUCACAUGUUGGAGAGGGAGCUGGGUUCGAUGGGGGCGAGGCUUGGGUCCCUGGAGGCCCAAUUGAAGUCACUACAGGAGAUGUUCCAGGACAGCCUGCUCCCCCUAGCCUCUGGUGUUGCCACACUCGAUCGACUGGUCCAGGUAGCAGAAUGGCUGCUGCCAUCUGCACAAUCAUCCACCCCCGUCUGUCCCAGGUGGCCGCUGAGGCUGCGCACAAGAUGGGGGCAGCCCCCUGGGUUGACGGACUGCGCGCAGCGUCCAGACACAAGAGGAGGAAGAAAGAAGAAGAAGGGUAAUGGGGAGGGGAGAACAAUAAAACACCUGUUAACGCAAUCAUGUUUGACUAUUUAUUGGAUGUUUUAAUGUGGAUAAUUACAAAUCAAGUGUAUAAAUGAAUGAAAGCAAAUACUCACAUUUAAGGGUAGAGCUGUGCUGCGAGGCGGUCCCUCCUCUCUUGUGCGCUCUGCUGCUCUCCCUGCUGACAUGGCACAUGCAAUUCGGCCUCUCUCUGUCUAAUGUCCAGUAAUGUGUCCUCGGUGAGGUCAUAGUGUCAUCCAUGGCGUAAAGCUAUGUUGUGUAAAACACAACAUGCCACAAAGAAUGCAGCGACACUCUGCGGGCUGUAUGUUAAUGAACCACCUGACCAGUCCAGACAUCUGAAACGCAUUUUGAGGAUUCCGUUACGUUCAAUGACUGACCUAGCACUGCUGAAGACACUGUUAAAAACACGUUGCUGUCUUGUUGAAGGUGUAAUGUAUGGCGUAAUCAACCACGUUUUCAGUGGAUAGCCGCAAUGAGGCCACAGUGCGUGUUACUGCGUGGACUACCUCACGGGACAGGUGUAAUUUGUUCCUGUGUCAAGGAAAAGAGUUGAUUGUUAAAAGGCAGUUGCAUGUGUUGGAGGCGUUAUCCAUGUGGCCCACCUGCUGUUAAGGUUAAAUAUGAUGCCCUUUGAUGAAACACCCUCGCCCUGUAAGUUCUCCUCCUCCUCCUCCAUCUCCUUGCAAUUAUGUACUCCAUCUUUGUAGAUAAUGUUAAGCAUGGAAAUGAUAACAUUUGUAGCUGUGAGAUCACAUGCUGCAGGUAAAUCUUGAGAACAACGGUCAUAACUUACUUUGCUUCAAUGUGCAUCGAUUUUUUUUGAGUGUUCUGAGAUGACAUGCCAAAUAUAUAAUCUCUACAAUCUCCUUUUCCCCCAUUUGGUUACCCGACUAGUGGUGGAGUGAGUGGUCGUCUUGGGGGUGGUGGAUCUUCAUUGCUGUCUACAGGGGACAUACAGAUUGGUGGCUUUUCCCCAUUCACCAGCCACCUUUCGCAAAACCUUCACACCAGAAAUUAUAAAAGUAGCCAAAAAAAUGUCAGGGGAGAGGAAGCUUUGUUAGAUUUGGCUUGUGUGUCUUGUGGCACGACUAAAACUAAGACUGUGGCUGUGGUAGCCUGAUGAGAUGAAGACUGUGACGACAAUGAGGUUAAAUACAAGAGGUAAUGAGGGUUAUGGGAAACAGGUGGGGAGAGACAAUCAGGGGGCAGGUGUGACAAGACGGGGGCAGGGCAGGCAGGAACACAUCUGAAACAGGGACAACUGUUAGUGACUUCAAAACAAAGCAGAAAGGACUAGACAUGAAACAUUAAUGUGCCAGAAUAAAGAAAACUUAACAGACAUGACACUCCUCCUCCUCUUCCAAACCAAAUGGUUUCCUUUCAAAUUACAGCUGUCUUUCAGUCUUUUCAUUCUGCUUCAAUAUUUACCCUCACUAAAGUGAUUCAUAAAAGGAAACCCUCCUCCUGUGCUCUCAACAUCCUGCCUGUGAGAUUUCUAAAAAAAAAGGUUUAUGAGCCAAUCAGUUCACAUCCCCUCUCUACAAUAAACUCAUGGCUGAUAACUGAUGCUGUUCCAACUGAUUUUAAAAAAUAAAUAAAUAAAUAAAGAUCAACCUGGAUCGAUGAAACACUCAAUAGACACAAAUUCUCUGCAUAAUUUCAGACCCAUUUCAGAACUUCUGUUUCUAUCCAAAGCUCC